UAUUAUUUACCUAAUGUCCAAAGUUUUACAUGUGAUGCUUUUAUUUUACCAAUGUUAUAACUUGUUUGUUGAAUAAUUUACACACUUACUUCCAUCCCAAUUUUAAUUGAUAGUUCAGUAGAUGUAGUGUGGUUUACAGCGAGUAUAUGUCUGAAAUGAUCAGGCUCUUGCUUUGUUUUAAAUUCUCAACUAGAACACCAUUUAGUCUGCACCUACGACUCUUGUUGAUAAUGUAAUAUGACCUCAUGGUGCAUAUCUUAAUAGGUGUAGAACCUACCUAAUCCUACAAGAGAUGAUAGUCCCGGUACAAGUGUGGUCGAUUGGGCAUCCGGACAACCUCCCAAUCGGUAGGGAUGUUCAUGAUGGUUUGAUAUGAUGCCUUCACCCAUUACCUAUCACUAGCGACAAUUAGCUCCCGCGUUUGCAUAGACCUAGGGAGGGGCUAUCAUUGCUAUUAUGGUGAAAUCAAUACUUCACUCCUGACGUCCUAAGGAAAGGUGUGUACAUUUUUCUCUCUUGGACCACCUUCGUUGCCAUUCUACUAAAGUUUUCUCAUUUUUGAUAAUAACAUUAGAUUCUGCAAUGUCCCUAGUUCGGUCUUAUCUCCCACAACCUUCAACCGUGUCGCAAAACCAACACUUCAUUUUUGCCUUCUAGAGGAGAUGCAUGUUCAUUUGUCUCCCCUGGACCAUAUUCGUGGUGAUUGUAAGAAUUGUUAUCGUUUUUUGAUAAUAACAAAAGAUCCUUCUAUGUCCAUUGUGUGGUUUUAUCUCCUAUGACCUUCCAGAGUGUUUAUUUGACCAAGGUGUGGUCCUUCGACUGCAACCUUGUCUCCUAGUGAUGCUUCAAAGCAUCUCCUAGUCAGAGCAUGGUCCUUCAAGCGGCUUCAUUCACAAGGGACUUCAACCCAAAACUAGGUUAGAGAAAAUUCUUCUGGUUCACUCCCCAACCCGAGAAAGCAUUGAUCGAUUUUGGCAUGGUCUUUCAAGUGGUUUCUUGUUGGAGGGUCUUCAACUUAAAACCCAGGGUACAGGAAGUUUCACGCCUUUGGAAUUGUAUUUGUUAGCUUCAUGCACUAGCCUACGCAACAAGUCCGAACUGAUGGAAAGUACUAGGCAAUCCAUAUAUACACUUCAACACCCCCUCUCAAAUGUGACGCGGGAAGUCAACACGUGAAUAGAGUCAGAGGUAUGGCUCAAGAGGCCUAUAUGUGGACCGAACUCAACCAAAAGUGGGCAACACCAAGUUUUGAAUAAAUCACGAAAGCCAGUACUUGAACUGAAGACCUUUGGCUCUGAUACCAUGUUAAGCUUCAUGCACUAGUGAAGCAGCACAAAGUUUGUGGAGGAGCAACUCCACCUUGCUGCUACAAUGUGUAGAGCACAAGUGUUGAAGGAACAACUUCAACGUGCUGCGCUAGAUAUCGCUCUAGAGGCGAAUGUAGGUUGAUAGGGCAGCAAGAGUUCAAUCCAGAACUCCUAGGGCACAAGAUCUACUCCAAGAUCUUAGAUAAGAACAACAAGUUCUAUUAUAGGUAGGGGUACAUAGUCUGCCUCCAAAGUAGAGGCGAGGACCUCUAUUUAUAGGGCUUUGGGAAGCCUUCACAUACUUCUACUUAUAGCUGGAAUACUCUAGAAAACAUUAUGUAAGUUUCACCAUUCUACUCAUAGCUACUCACAACUAGAAGACUCUAGAAAACAGUAGGUAGGAUAGAAAAGAAAAGGAAAGAAAUACUACACUAGAGUGGAAGCAUCUAGAAGUAGCCAAACAGAUCUGGCAUGUGUUUUCUUUCUUCUCAUCUAGUGUUCCUCAUCAUUCUCCCCUGGUUGUUUGGAACUCGCCCUCGAGUUAUCUUCAUAGAGCGCUUCUUCUGGAUGGUAGAGAGUCAAGUCCGCAACAUUGAAAGUGUUGGAGAUACCCAUGUCACUUGGAAGAUCUAUCACAUAAGCAUUAUCAUUUAUCUUCCUCGUGAUAGAGAAGGGCCCAUACCUUCGCUGCCUAAGUUUCCCUUUAACACCUAAAGGCAGCCUCUCUUUUCGGAGGUAGACCAUCACCUUAUCACCGACUUGGAAUGAUUUUGGCCUCUUUUUGCAAUCAGCAAGUUGUUUAUAUUUCUGGUUUUGUGCUUCCAAAGCGCCGCGAAUCUCUUCAAAUAACUCGGUGUAAUUAUCAGCAAAGGACAAUGCUGAUUUUGAGUUUCCCCUUGAUGGCAGCUUCACCAGGUCCACCACAUGUGUUGGAACUUUAGUGUGGACAAUGGAAAAAGGGCUCCUUCCUGUGGAUCUAUGCUUGGAGUUAUUGUAGGAGAACUCUGCAAGAGAUAAAGCCAAAUCCCAUUGCCCCUUUCUUUCUCCACAAAUGCAACGGAUCAGAUUACCCAAAAACUUGUUCACCACUUCCGUUUGUCCAUCUGUUUGUGGAUGAGCAGUGCUAGAAAAUUUCAAUUCAGUGUUGAAUUGCUUCCACAAAGUGAGCCAAAAUGCAGCAAGAAACUUGCUAUCACGGUCUGAGACAAUGGACCUUGGAACUCCAUGAAGUCUGACCACUUCUCGAAAGAAUAGGUUUGCCACAUGAUGAGCAUCCGUUGUCUUGCGGCAUGGGAUGAAAUGAGCCAUCUUAGAGAAUCUAUCCACGACCACAAAUACAACAUCACUUCCUCGUCUUGUUCUUGGCAAGCCCAAGACGAAGUCCAUAGAAAUGUCCUCCCAUGGAGCAACAGGAACAGGCAAAGGCAUGUAUAACCCUGUGUUCUGGACUUGGCCUUUGCAGGUCUGACAUACGGGGCACCGUUGAACGAACUUUCCAGCAUCUCUCUUUAGUUGUGGCCAAAAGUAGCGAGCUUCCAGGUUAGCGAUAGUCUUGUCCCGUCCAACAUGGCCACUAAGAUCACUUGAAUGGAGCUCUCUAACCAGCUUGUCACGUAGAGAACUUCUUGGAAUGCACAAACGAUCAUUUUUGAAGAGAUAUCCAUCUUGCAUCAAAUAGUCAUCACCUAAUGGUUGGCCCCUUGCGUGCUUUACCCAAACAUGGCCAAAGUCUUCGUCACCCUCAUACAACUCCUUUAUUUGACCCAUGCCCGGAAGUUCAGCUUCAAAAGAAGUCAAGAGGCAUGCACGACGACUCAAAGCAUCGGCCACUCUGUUAGUUAUUCCAGAUUUAUGCACGAUGAGAUAGUUAAACCUCUCAAGAUAUGCUGCCCAUCUUGCUAGCAUGCGGUCAACAUGCUUUUGAUUUCUAAAAUGCUUCAAGGAUUAAUGGUCGCUAUAAACAAUGAACUCUUUAGGCAGCAAAUAGACUUCCCAAGUUUUCAACGCUCUGAAAACGGCGUAUAAUUCUUGCUGAUAGGUACUCCAUUUCUGUCUAGCUUCACUUAACUUCUCACUAAAGAAAGCAAUGGGCUUCCUUUCUUGAGAUAGGACAGCUCCAAUGCCUACUCCACUUGCAUCACACUCCAACUCAAAAGUCUUGUUGAAAUCAGGUAGUACCAAGACAGGAGCUUGUGAUAGCUUUUGUUUAAUCUCAUUGAAGCUAGCUUCAGCUGCUUCUGCCCAUUGGAACUUUCCUUUCUUCAAACACGGUAAUUGGUGCCAUGAUAGUGCUGAAAUUCUUAACAAAUCGCCUAUAGAAAGUUGCAAGGCCAUGAAAGCUUCUUACCUCAGAAAUGGUCUUAGGAGUUGGCCAUUCUCGGAUUGCUUCAACCUUAGAAUCAUCAACACGAAUGCCAUCACAUGUUAUGACGAAUCCUAGGAAAAGAAGUUGUGUUUGCAGGAAAACACAUUUCUUCAAGUUGACGUAGAGCUCAUUUUCCCUUAGUACUUCUAGCACCUUCCGAAUGUGAUCAAAGUGUUCAUCCUCAUCCUUGCUAUAGAUCAAGAUGUCAUCGAAAUAGACCACAACAAAGUGGGAUAAGAAGGGUCUAAGGACUUGAUUCAUUAAGUGCAUAAAGGUACUUGGUGCAUUUGAGAGUCCAAAUGGCAUGACUAGCCAUUCAAACAACCCUUCCUUUGUCUUGAAGGCGGUCUUCCAUUCAUCCCCGGGUCUUAUACGGAUUUGAUGAUAUCCACUUCUUAAAUCUAGCUUUGUGAACACUCUUGCUCCACUAAGCCGAUCCAAAAUAUCAUCCAGACGGGGAAUAGGGAAUCUAUACCUUACGGUGAUCUUGUUAACGGCUCUAUUGUCCGUACACAUGCGCCAAGAUCCAUCUUUCUUUGGCGCGAGUAGGGCUGGUACAGCACAUGGGCUAAUACUUUCUCGAAUGUGCCCCUUUUGCAACAAUUCCUCCACUUUCUCCUUCAAUAUACCAUGCUCCUUUGGGCUCAUUCGAUAGUGUGGAAGAUUAGGAAGACUUGCUCCCGGAAUUAAGUCAAUUCUAUGUUGAAUUCCUCUCAUCGGUGGCAAGCCAUGUGGCUCCCCAAGUAUGUUCUGAAAUUCUGCCAAUAAACCACGUACCUUUGCUGGAAUUUCAACAGUCAGGUGCUCUUCUCCCUUUACAACAAGUGCAGCACACAAAUCUGCCUCCUUCAAGUCUUCCAUAAACUCAUGAGAGGUAUGGGAGAUAGUUAACAUAGUUUUCCCCUCCUCAGAGGUAUUACCUUCGGGUUUGUUUGGUAAGAUAAUGAUCCUUCUCUUGUUCCAAAUGAAAGAGUAAGAAUUUUCCUUGCCCUUGUGUGUAGUAUCCACAUCAAAUCGCCAAGGCCUCCCAAGAAGAACAUGGCUGGCAUCCAUGUCAACCACAUCACACAACACAUUUGAGCGAUAAUGCUUACCCAAAGAAAGUGGCAGGUUGCAUUGUUUGGUGAUCUUCAUAUUCACUCCUUUCUUGAUCCAUCCAAUAGUGUAGGGAUUUGGAUGAUCAUGGGUUUCAAGCUUUAAAUGGUCCACCAACUUUUGGGAGAUAAGAUUCUCGCAGCUGCAACUAUCAAUCACUAGUUUGCAUACCUUGCCAUUCACCGUGCAUUUGCUCUCAAAUAUUUUCUUCCGUUGUGUGUCAUCGAGUUGUGGUGUGGAACAUAGGACAGCUGGAUCACACAUACCACCUCUUCACCUUCUUCUUGACAAACCUCUUGUCCGUCUACAUCUUCAGAUUCGUAUUCUUCCUCAUCGCUUUCACCAUCAUGGAUAGUCGUGUUAACAAAUUUCCUUAGUGGGCAGCCGCUGGAUAUGUGUCCCUCUUUACCACAUUUAUAGCACUUUGGACCUUCAUUUGCCUUACCCUUGCCUCUAGUUUGCUUCGGGAUGGGCUGUUUUGUCUUUGGUGGAGUGGUCUUUUCUUCCACUCUAUUAGGUUGGCUCCUAGAUGAGCCUUCGGUAUGAGGAUAUGGAGGAUAUGGAGCCUUAGUUGUCUUUCUCAUCCUCACAAACCUCUCGGCCUUUAAGGCUAGAUCUUGUGCUUGAUCAACGGACCAGAUUUGUUGCAUCAUCAAUCGAUCUUGAAUAGCAUCAUUGAGACCAUUGAUGUACCUUGCAACUUGUUGCUCUUCAGUUUCAGCAAGGUUGCACCUCACUUGUAGCCUUAGAAACUCCUCCGUGUAAUCUGAAACAGUUCUAUUUCCUUGAGCACAAUUUUGAAAUUGGAUAAAUAGGAUCUGGUCAUAAUCAGCGGGCAAAAAUCUCCCUUUCAAGAGGCCUUUCAUUUAUCGCCAAGUUCUAACACGAGGUUCUCCUCUGAGCCUGCGCUCCUCUUGAACGCGAUGCCACCAUGCACCGGCUCCUCCUUUCAGUUUGUAUGCGACCAAAGGAACUCUACGAUCUUCCGGAACCUCCAUGACCUCAAAGAAAGUCUCCACUUCAUAUAACCAAUCCAGGCACCCUUCAAUGUCAACAUUUCCAUUAAAAGUUGGGAUCUCAGCUUUCACCUUGUAUGUAUCUCUUGCAUAUGUAGGGUUGGGUACUCUCCGAUAUGCGUAGAGAUCUGCUUCUUCAAGGGCAUCAUCAUAUUCUUCACCUUCAGAAGCUUCAACAUAAAUUGGCCUUCUUGAAGCACGUUGAACAGCACGUUGUUGUGGCGGUCUUGCUCCAAGAUUACCUCUCCUUCUUUGUUGAACAUCUUUUUCUUUAGAUGAAUCUCCUUCAUUGGCAGCAGGGGGGACACCCUUUCUUAUCAUCUCAACCAGCUGACCAAAUCUCCGAUUAAGAUCUUCACGCAGCUCUUUGAUUUGUUGUUCUGCAGCAUCCAUCCUCUUCUCCAAUUGCUCCAUUGCUUGGUGCAACUUACUCUCGAAGAGGACAGCAAGAACUAGUAUGGGUCAACGAGGCUCUGAUACCACCUGAAGCAGCACAAAGUUUGUGGGGAGCAACUCCACCUUGCUGCUACAAUGUGUACAGCACAAGUGUUGAAGGAACAGCUUCAACGUGCUGCGCUAGAUAUCGCUCUAGAGGCGAAUGUAGGUUGAUAGGGCAGCAAGAGUUCAAUCCAGAACUCCUAGGGCACAAGAUCUACUCCAAGAUCUUAGAUAAGAACAACAAGUUCUAUUAUAGGUAGGGGUACAUAGUCUGCCUCCAAAGUAGAGGCGAGGACCUCUAUUUAUAGGGCUUUGGGAAGCCUUCACAUACUUCUACUUGUAGCUGGAAUACUCUAGAAAACAUUAUGUAAGUUUCACCAUUCUACUCAUAGCUACUCACAACUAGAAGACUCU
rnacentral:lncRNA from 1 species